GGUUAAGCGACUAAGCGUACACGGUGGAUGCCCUGGCAGUCAGAGGCGAUGAAGGGCGUGCUAAUCUGCGAUAAGCGCCGGUAAGGUGAUAUGAACCGUUAUAACCGGCGAUACCCGAAUGGGGAAACCCAGUGUGAUUCGUCACACUAUCAUUAACUGAAUCCAUAGGUUAAUGAGGCGAACCGGGGGAACUGAAACAUCUAAGUACCCCGAGGAAAAGAAAUCAACCGAGAUUCCCCCAGUAGCGGCGAGCGAACGGGGAGGAGCCCAGAGCCUGAAUCAGCAUGUGUGUUAGUGGAAGCGUCUGGAAAGGCGCGCGAUACAGGGUGACAGCCCCGUACACAAAAGCGCAUGUGCUGUGAGCUCGAUGAGUAGGGCGGGACACGUGGUAUCCUGUCUGAAUAUGGGGGGACCAUCCUCCAAGGCUAAAUACUCCUGACUGACCGAUAGUGAACCAGUACCGUGAGGGAAAGGCGAAAAGAACCCCGGCGAGGGGAGUGAAAAAGAACCUGAAACCGUGUACGUACAAGCAGUGGGAGCACAGGUUUACCUGUGUGACUGCGUACCUUUUGUAUAAUGGGUCAGCGACUUAUAUUCUGUAGCAAGGUUAACCGAAUAGGGGAGCCGGAGGGAAACCGAGUCUUAAUUGGGCGUUAAGUUGCAGGGUAUAGACCCGAAACCCGGUGAUCUAGCCAUGGGCAGGUUGAAGGUUGGGUAACACUAACUGGAGGACCGAACCGACUAAUGUUGAAAAAUUAGCGGAUGACCUGUGGCUGGGGGUGAAAGGCCAAUCAAACCGGGAGAUAGCUGGUUCUCCCCGAAAGCUAUUUAGGUAGCGCCUCGUGAAUUCAUCUCCGGGGGUAGAGCACUGUUUCGGCUAGGGGGCCAUCCCGGCUUACCAACCCGAUGCAAACUGCGAAUACCGGAGAAUGUUAUCACGGGAGACACACGGCGGGUGCUAACGUCCGUCGUGAAGAGGGAAACAACCCAGACCGCCAGCUAAGGUCCCAAAGUCAUGGUUAAGUGGGAAACGAUGUGGGAAGGCCCAGACAGCCAGGAUGUUGGCUUAGAAGCAGCCAUCAUUUAAAGAAAGCGUAAUAGCUCACUGGUCGAGUCGGCCUGCGCGGAAGAUGUAACGGGGCUAAACCAUGCACCGAAGCUGCGGCAGCGACACUGUGUGUUGUUGGGUAGGGGAGCGUUCUGUAAGCCUGUGAAGGUGUGUCGU
rnacentral:rRNA from 1 species